UACGUAGGGUGCGAGCGUUAAUCGGAAUUACUGGGCGUAAAGCGUGCGCAGGCGGUUUUGUAAGCCAUAUGUGAAAUCCCCGGGCUCAACCUGGGAACUGCAUUUGGGACUGCAAGGCUUGAGUACGGCAGAGGGGGGUAGAAUUCCUGGUGUAGCAGUGAAAUGCGUAGAUAUCAGGAGGAAUACCGAUGGCGAAGGCAGCCCCCUGGGUCGAUACUGACGCUCAUGCACGAAAGCGUGGGGAGCAAACAGG
rnacentral:rRNA from 1 species